rnacentral:rRNA from 1 species
UACGUAGGGGGCGAGCGUUGUCCGGAGUUACUGGGCGUAAAGCGCACGCAGGCGGUCUGCUAAGUUUGGAGUUGACAGUUGGUGGCUUAACUGCCAAAGUGCUUCGAAAACUGACAGACUUGAGGGCUUCAGAGGGACACGGAAUUCCGGGUGGAGUGGUGAAAUGCAUAGAUAUCGUCAAGAACACCGAUAGCGAAGGCAGCUUACUGGGCUGUAACUGACGCUGAUGCACGAAAGUGUGGGGAUCAAACAGG